GGUUUGUGAUUUCUAACAUAGUAUCAGAGUCAUGUACUUAACAUAGCUCGGUUAAUAGAAUCCUCAAGUGUAGAACAAAGAAGUUAUGAAUCUCAAAGAUGUAGUCAAAAGUGACUCAAGUGUUGAACUUGAACAAUGG